CUUAAAAUAUCUAUAUGAAUGGACUUAUCACUGUUUACUUUAUCUGAUUUAUUUUGUGAAUAAAGGCCCGGAUUUAUAUAUCAGCAAGUAUAUUUUAAGUAGCCUAUUUGAGUUUGUUUAGACCAUUGAACUUGACUCAUUCAUGCCAAGCUAUAAAACAUUCAACUGACUAUUUACCAUAAUAUGGCUACAGUUAGGGCUGCUCAAUUGUUAUCACAACAAUAGUGUCUCUGCAAUAUCCUUAUCACAGAAAGGUGAGCUUAAGGCCUCAGAGCGGAGAUGAAAAGGAAUAGUCAUGGCUGGAGUGAGAACCUAACAACAGCAAUUAUCAAAUCAGAACAUUUGCUGAUAUAUAUAUAAAAGCAGUAUAACAUCUUCUAAUGUUUAUUUUAAUAUGAAAAUUACAUAAAUACAUUAAAAAUAGCUAGUAAACAGUCUAGGCAGAUUUAUUGCAGGAAAUAUUGUUAUGAAUAUUUCACAACAUCAUAUAUUUUUACAGAAUUGUGCAACCCUAGCUAGAGGAAAUGUAAGAGAAAUAAAGAUAAGACAACUGUUAUAAGAAAAUGUUAAGGAGUAAACGUACAGUUUAUUCUUUCUUCAGGAAUGUAUUCAAGGUAAAGUUGGGGUUUAAACUGUAAUUAAGUACAAAUCCUCAGAAAUAAUACUUCAGCGCAGUAAUGAAAUAUUAGAGGCCUGAUAUCUUAGUAAUAGUUUGUUACAAAAAUGCUUCUAAAGCAGUCUUCAAUCAGAUUUGUGAUGGUUUACGCUAUAAAUGUACUUCAUUGUUUGUUUCAUUGAUUUAUUUACAGGUAACGUCAACCAGAAAUACAAAGUCUUUCAUCUAAUAGGCAAUGGAUCGUUUGGAGAGGUCUUCAGUGGGAUUCGUGUAUCGGAUUUCCGAAAGGUGGCAAUCAAAUACGUGAAAAAGACUAAAGAAAUGAAAACCAUCAAGAUUGCACCAUCUGACAAAUCUGUUCCACAAGAGGUCGGUUUGAUGUAUUUGAUGAGCAGAGGUCCAAAUGUUCCUCAAAUAAUACAGCUGCUGGACUGGUACGAGUCACCAGAGUAUUACGUACUGGUGCUAGAGCGCCCCAGAGCGUGUGUGGACAUGCGCCAGUUUAUAUCCUGGUAUGACAACAAAAUCAGCGAAGAGAAUGCACGAGUGGUGACGCACCAGGUGGUCACUGCUGCAAACGCUUGCUGUGAACGGGGCGUCUACCACAGCGACAUCAAGCUGGAGAACCUCCUUAUCAACCCCCACACCUUGCAGAUCAAACUCAUAGACUUUGGUGCUGGAAGACUAAUAAGCAACUUAGGCUACACAACAUUCUGUGGCACAAGAGUUUACGCUCCUCCGGAGUUUUUCAAACGUGGAAGGCUCCACGCCAAGCCUGCAACAGUGUACUCUAUAGGAGUACUGUUGUUCAUCCUGCUGUAUGGACGUUUGCCUCUAAAAGAGCUCCAGAAGAUUGUCAAAAGAACCUGGAAGCCUGAAGACCUAUCCAAAGAAUGCAUAGAUUUGAUCUGCUCGUGUCUGCAAAGUAAGCCAGACAAGCGGAUUCCUCUUGAAAAGAUCCUCCAACACAACUGGUUCCAAUCCUUGAUCCCGGAGCCAAACAACAGAAGAAACGAUUAGGAAGAUCGGAACUGUUCAGAAGGACAUUCAGACAAGAGCACUGCUGAAGAAGAUCCAGGCACCUGAAAAAGACAGCACCAAGCUCCUCUUCCUCAUCGAACCACUAACGCCCAUCUCCUCCUUUUCAUCCAGCCACUAACACCAAACUCCUCCUCUUUAUCGAGCCAUUAACACCAAGCUCCUCCUCUUCAUCCAGCCUCUAACACUAAGCUCCUCUUUUAUAUUCAGCCAGGAACUCCGUCAAGCCACAAACAUGGGGCAGUUUGUGGCUUUGACGAAGAGAGAAAGCUGAAUGGGGCUGGUGUUUGUGGUUGCGUGAAAAGGAGGAGCUAAAUGGGGCUGGUGUUUGUGGUUUCACAGAGGGGAGGAGGUAAAUGGGGCCAAUGUUCGUGGUUGCAGGAAAAGGAGGAGCCGUUUGCGGCAGGUGUUUAUGGUUUGACGAAGAGGAGGAGCUGAAUGGAGCCAUCGUUUGUGUCUGGAUGAAGAGAAGAAGAUUUUUAAUUUUUUUGAGAUUGUAAAUAAAUGCUUGUUCUGUAUGUAAUGAAUAAAAAUGAAUACUUUUCACA